rnacentral:rRNA from 1 species
GAUGAACGCUGGCGGCGUGCUUAACACAUGCAAGUCGAACGAUGAAGCCCAGCUUGCUGGGUGGAUUAGUGGCGAACGGGUGAGUAACACGUGAGUAACCUGCCCUUAACUCUGGGAUAAGCCUGGGAAACUGGGUCUAAUACCGGAUAGGAGCGCCUACCGCAUGGUGGGGUUGGAAAGGUUUAUCGGUUUUGGAUGGACUCGCGGCCUAUCAGCUUGUUGGUGAGGUAAUGGCUCACCAAGGCGACGACGGGUAGCCGGCCUGAGAGGGUGACCGGCCACACUGGGACUGAGACACGGCCCAGACUCCUACGGGAGGCAGCAGUGGGGAAUAUUGCACAAUGGGCGAAAGCCUGAUGCAGCGACGCCGCGUGAGGGAUGACGGCCUUCGGGUUGUAAACCUCUUUCAGUAGGGAAGAAGCGAAAGUGACGGUACCUGCAGAAGAAGCACCGGCUAACUACGUG